rnacentral:rRNA from 1 species
GUCUACUUGAAGAUGUAAGUAGUCAGGCCUGCUCACUGACUGAACCUGUUUAAGAGCCGCGGUAUUCUGACCGUGCAAAGGUAGCAUAAUCAUUAGUUUUUUAAUUGAAAACUGGUAUGAAAGGUUAGACAAGAAAAAAGCUGUUUCAAUUAUAAUUUUUGAAUUUAACUUUUAAGUGAGAAGGCUUAAAUUGCUUAGAGGGACGAUAAGACCCUAUAAAGCUUUAUAUAAAUAUUAAAGUUGAUUGAAGUUGUAUUAAGAGUUAAUAAUAAGUAAUAUAUUUUGUUGGGGCGACAUAAGUAUAAUUUUUAUAACUGCUUAUAUUUAUAAUCAUUUAUUAAUGGAUAAAUUUUAGAUGACCCUAUAUUAUAGAUUUAAAGAUUAAGUUACUUUAGGGAUAACAGCGUUAUUUUACUUGAGAGUUCCUAUCGAAAGUGAAGUUUGCGACCUCGAUGUUGAAUUAAAGUUUCUGUAUAAUGCAGCCGUUAUAUAAGAAGGUCUGUUCGACCUUUAAAUUUUUACAUGAUUUGAGUUCAGACCGGUGUAAG